UGGGGAAUUUUGGACAAUGGGGGCAACCCUGAUCCAGCCAUCCCGCGUGUGCGAUGAAGGCCUUCGGGUUGUAAAGCACUUUUGGCAGGGAAGAAACAGCCUGGGAUAAUACCCCGGGCGACUGACGGUACCUGCAGAAUAAGCACCGGCUAACUACGUGCCAGCAGCCGCGGUAAUACGUAGGGUGCAAGCGUUAAUCGGAAUUACUGGGCGUAAAGCGUGCGUAGGCGGUUCGGAAAGAAAGGUGUGAAAUCCCAGGGCUUAACCUUGGAACUGCACUUUUAACUACCGAGCUAGAGUACGUCAGAGGGGGGUAGAAUUCCACGUGUAGCAGUGAAAUGCGUAGAGAUGUGGAGGAAUACCGAUGGCGAAGGCAGCCCCCUGGGAUGAUACUGACGCUCAUGCACGAAAGCGUGGGGAGCAAACAGGAUUAGAUACCCUGGUAGUCCACGCCCUAAACGAUGUCAACUAGUUGUUGGGGAUUCAUUUCCUUAGUAACGUAGCUAACGCGUGAAGUUGACCGCCUGGGGAGUACGGUCGCAAGAUU
rnacentral:rRNA from 1 species